rnacentral:rRNA from 1 species
AGUGAACGCUGGCGGUAGGCCUAACACAUGCAAGUCGAACGGCAGCACAGUAAGAGCUUGCUCUUACGGGUGGCGAGUGGCGGACGGGUGAGGAAUACAUCGGAAUCUACUUUUUCGUGGGGGAUAACGUAGGGAAACUUACGCUAAUACCGCAUACGACCUACGGGUGAAAGCAGGGGAUCUUCGGACCUUGCGCGAUUGAAUGAGCCGAUGUCGGAUUAGCUAGUUGGCGGGGAAAAGGCCCACCAAGGCGACGAGCCGUAGCUGGUGUGAGAGGAUGACCACCAAGACUGGAACUGAGCCACGGUCAAGAUUCCUACGGGAGGAGGCAGUGGGGAAUAUUGGACAAUGGGCGCAAGCCUGAUCCAGCCAUACGGCGUGGGUGAAGAAGGCCUUCGGGUUGUAAAGCCCUUUUGUUGGGAAAGAAAAGCAGCAGGUUAAUACCCCGCUGUUCUGACGGUACCCAAAGAAUAAGCACCGGCUAACUUCGUG